rnacentral:rRNA from 1 species
CCCAGACUCCUACGGGAGGCAGCAGUGGGGAAUAUUGCACAAUGGGGGGAACCCUGAUGCAGCGACGCCGCGUGGGUGAAGGAGUAUUUCGGUAUGUAAAGCCCUAUCAGCAGGGAAGAACAAUGACGGUACCUGACUAAGAAGCACCGGCUAAAUACGUGCCAGCAGCCGCGGUAAUACGUAUGGUGCAAGCGUUAUCCGGAUUUACUGGGUGUAAAGGGAGCGCAGACGGCAGUGCAAGUCUGGAGUGAAAGCCCGGGGCCCAACCUCGGGACUGCUCUGGAAACUGUACGGCUGGAGUGCAGGAGAGGUAAGUGGAAUUCCUAGUGUAGCGGUGAAAUGCGUAGAUAUUAGGAGGAACACCAGUGGCGAAGGCGGCUUACUGGACUGUAACUGACGUCGAGGCUCGAAAGCGUGGGGAGCAAACAGGAUUAGAUACCCGAGUA